CACUGCAACGGUGGAGCGUGCGGUUUAAUUGGAUUCAACGCCGGAAAACUCACCGGGGGCGACGAUUACAUGAAGGCCAGGCUGAUGACCUUGCCUGAUUUUUCGAGAGGUGGUGCAUGGCCGCCGUCAGUUCGUACCGUAAGGCGUUCUGUUAAGUCAGAUAACGAACGAGACCCUCAUUGCCAUUUGCUAGGCUCUUCUCCGGAAGGGUUGCACUAUGGCGAGACCGCCACUGCUGAAGUGGAGGAAGGAGGGGGCAACGGUAGGUCAGUAUGCCCCGAAUCUCCCGGGCUACACGCGCGCUACAAAGGGCAGGACAAUGGGCUUCGACGCCGAAAGGCGAAGGCAAUCCCGAAACCUGCUCGUACUUCGGAUUGAGGGCUGCAAUUCGCCCUCAUGAAGCUGGAAUCCGUAGUAAUCGCGGGUCAACAUCCCGCGGUGAAUAUGCCCCUGCUCCUUGCACACACCGCCCGUCAAACCACCUUAGUUGGGUCUGGACGAGGGCUCGCCUUCUGGCGCGCUCGAAUCUGGGUUCAGCGAGGAGGGUUAAGUCGUAACAAGGUA
rnacentral:rRNA from 1 species